CUAUCUACAACUAUACAAAUGCAAUUAACGGAAUACGAUAAGCAACGAUAAACAAACAACUGACAUAUAGAGACUACGAUACUGAAUGAAAGAACAGAGGAAGGGUGAAACGAUCUCACCGACUACCAGCUCGAAGCACCUACCUGUCACUGUCGCGUCGAAACACUGGGUACGCACAAGUCGACGGAACCUACGAAGAUCCAACGGGUCAGUAACCAACCCACUCACCUGAAAUAUACUAUCUCACAAACCCCCACACAGAUCCCCGAAUCGGUUUUCCAAAACCGAUCAUCGUAACUCACCGGAAGUCCCGAAAAUUACACCGGGACGCUGUCAGGACCCACUAA
rnacentral:lncRNA from 1 species